UAAAGCCAAACGAGCCUAGUGAUAGCUGGUUACUCAAGAAAAGGAUUUAAGUCCAACCUAAAACUUAACUUAAUACUACAAAAUUAAAAACUUAACUUUAGAGCAAUUCAACUAAGGUACAGCCUACUUGAAACAGGAUACAACCUCAACUAAUGGGUUAUUUUAACCAUCAACACAUUUAAGUUGGCCUAAGAGCAGCCACCUUUUAAAUAGCGUCAAAGCUUAGCCAUGCAACUGUUUAAUCCCAACAAUACCUUUUAACCCUUUACUACUAUUGAGUACUUCUAUAUACCUAUAGAACUUUUUAUGUUAAAACUAGUAACAAGAACCAGACCUUCUCUUAUAUGUUAGUGUACAUCAGUAAGGACACACCACUGAUAAUUAACACCAAUGAACUAAAAGUAGCAACUCAACAAGAAAACUCUUCUUAACAAUAUGUUAAUCUAACACAAGUACAUUCCAAGAAAGAUUUAAAGAAAAAGAAGGAACUCGGCAAACAUUAACCUCGCCUGUUUACCAAAAACAUCGCCUCUUGUAAAAAUUUAAGAGGUCCAGCCUGCCCAGUGACUCUGUUCAACGGCCGCGGUAUCCUAACCGUGCGAAGGUAGCGUAAUCACUUGUUCUUUAAAUAGGGACUAGUAUGAAUGGCAUCACGAAGGUUACACUGUCUCCUUUUUCUAAUCAGUGAAACUAAUCUUCCCGUGAAGAAGCGGGAAUAAUUAUAUAAGACGAGAAGACCCUAUGGAGCUUUAAACAAAAUAACAACUGCUAACUAAAUCUUAAUUUCAGAAAACCAAUCUUUACCCAAGCAUUGUGAUUACUAGUUUUAGGUUGGGGUGACCGCGGAGCAAAAAACAACCUCCAUAUUGAAAGAAUCAUAAUUCUAAGCAAAAAGCUACAACUUUAAGCAUCAACAAAUUGACAUCUAUUGACCCAAUAUUGUGAUCAACGAACCAAGUUACCCUAGGGAUAACAGCGCUAUCCACUUUAAGAGCCCUUAUCGACAAGUGGGCUUACGACCUCGAUGUUGGAUCAGGGUACCCCAGUGGUGCAGCCGCUACUAAAGGUUCGUUUGUUCAACGAUUAAAACCCUACGUGAUCUGAGUUCAGACCGGAGUAA
rnacentral:rRNA from 1 species